UAUAUAGUGCCUUAUAUAUAUAUAUAUAUCUUAUAUAACCAAACCCAGGUCUCCUUACUGCGAGGCAUAUUCUGCAUGUUACAAAUAAAAUCUGAUUUGAUUUCUUCAGGUGCCUUGCUCAGCUUGUCUCCUGACAGUCCAACAUCCCUGAGGAGACUUCUGGCUGAAAGGUCCAUGAUGCCCCAGCAGUUGUCUUGCGCUGGGUAGGUGUGAUUCUCCCUCCAUUUGCUCACCGGCUCUACACGCCUGGCCUUCUUCUCCUCAUAGGCUGCCUUCAUGUUUUCUUCCCAGAGACCAUAGGAGCCUGCGGCACAUGUGGUCAUUUCUGAAAGCCACAAGGUGCAAAACAGCAGACCACCUCAGCACAGCAGGAGACCACUGGACACUGCAGGGGCACCGGCCCGGCAUCACAGCCAGGGAACUUCUGACAAAACACCAGAAACCGAAGCCGACAGUAGAGACGAAAAUCAACAGAAAGUGUCGGGUCAAGCAAAGCACAAUUUAAACCCCCCCCACUGACAACAAUAAGCCCCAAAGCAUCGACUCACGGGGGCUCCGUCUCUCAAUGAGUCAGGCAGUCAAUGCAAAUCUACUGUUAAAUGAAUCGGUGCGUACUGUCCACACACAUGAAGACGGAUGGGGGUGUGGUAGCUUUACUUAAAUAUGGAAAAGGAGGGGCCGAGGAAGACAAAGGUGACGACUGGUAAGAGCUAGAGGAAGGGGGCGAGCAAGAAAGGAAACUCCUGAAAAGAACUCCAGACCAAGACAAUUUCACAAGAGCAAAGUCUGUUUACGAAGCUUCAUACAGCAAAGGAAGAAACAGUAAAGACCAGCUCUCUGUUAGCUCACAAAAUUAACAAAAGAAGAAACCCGGUUCCGAUGGAGAACUUGUUAAAGAGUGCUUAUCGGAGACAACGACAAUCCUCUGCCCAGAGAAGAAGAAUGUGUUUGAACAUCGACUGUCUCUCUCAUGGCGAACGGUUACAAGACGGACUGAGGAAAUUAUGGAGGGUCUGCUACUAGAGCUGAAUCGCACGGUGGAAAAUGUUGAGUUCUUCUCCUUGAGCCGAGAUGAGAGCUGUGAUGUUCGUGACACGAUGCAGCUGUUGAGUUUUUGUGAAAGGAUUUAACGAAACACUUUGAAAUGACAGAAGAACCGCAGGCUUCUAUACAGUAUGUGAAAGCAGCAACAAGCAGUGAUGAGUAUACGUGCGUUCAAAAGUUAGGACCGCAGUGGGAAAACA